rnacentral:rRNA from 1 species
CCUACGGGAGGCUGCAGUGGGGAAUAUUGGACAAUGGGCGAAAGCCUGAUCCAGCCAUGCCGCGUGUGUGAAGAAGGCCUUCGGGUUGUAAAGCACUUUCAGUGGGGAAGAAAGCCUUGGGGCUAAUACCCUCGAGGAAGGACAUCACCCACAGAAGAAGCACCGGCUAACUCCGUGCCAGCAGCCGCGGUAAUACGGAGGGUGCGAGCGUUAAUCGGAAUUACUGGGCGUAAAGCGCGCGUAGGCGGUCUGAUAAGCCGGUUGUGAAAGCCCCGGGCUCAACCUGGGAACGGCAUCCGGAACUGUCAGGCUAGAGUGCAGGAGAGGAAGGUAGAAUUCCCGGUGUAGCGGUGAAAUGCGUAGAGAUCGGGAGGAAUACCAGUGGCGAAGGCGGCCUUCUGGACUGUCACUGACGCUGAGGUGCGAAAGCGUGGGUAGCAAACAGGAUUAGAUACCCCGGUAGUC